rnacentral:rRNA from 1 species
AAUGAAAGUGAAGGCUCGCCUCGCGCGUGCCGAGGGAGGAUGGGCGGCGUCACGAUGCCGCCUCGCACUCCCGGGGCGUCUCGUUCUCAUUGCGAGAAGAGGCGCACCCAGAGCGUACACGCUGGGACCCGAAAGAUGGUGAACUAUGCCUGGUCAGGACGAAGUCAGGGGAAACCCUGAUGGAGGUCCGUAGCGAUUCUGACGUGCAAAUCGAUCGUCGGAACUGGGUAUAGGGGCGAAAGACUAAUCGAACCAUCUAGUAGCUGGUUCCCUCCGAAGUUUCCCUCAGGAUAGCUGGCGCUCGCUUUGCGAGUCUCAUCCGGUAAAGCGAAUGAUUAGAGGCAUUGGGGUCGAAACGGCCUCAACCUAUUCUCAAACUUUAAAUGGGUGAGAUCUCCGGCUUGCUCGAACUUGAAGCCGCGAGAUUUUACACAAGGAUCAGGGUGCCAAGUGGGCCACUUUUGGUAAGCAGAACUGGCGCUGUGGGAUGAACCAAACGCCGAGUUAAAGCGCCUAAAUCGACGCUUAUGGGAUACCAUGAAAGGCGUU